rnacentral:rRNA from 1 species
UACGGGGGGGGCAAGCGUUGUUCGGAAUUACUGGGCGUAAAGGGCUCGUAGGCGGCCAACUAAGUCAGACGUGAAAUCCCUCGGCUUAACCGGGGAACUGCAUCUGAUACUGGAUGGCUUGAGUUCGGGAGAGGGAUGCGGAAUUCCAGGUGUAGCGGUGAAAUGCGUAGAUAUCUGGAGGAACACCGGUGGCGAAGGCGGGUCUCUGGGCCGAUACUGACGCUGAGGAGCGAAAGCGUGGGGAGCAAACAGG